rnacentral:rRNA from 1 species
UACAGAGGGGGCAAGCGUUGUUCGGAAUUACUGGGCGUAAAGGGCGCGUAGGCGGUCCACUGAGUCAGACGUGAAAUCCCCCGGCUUAACCUGGGAACUGCGUCUGAUACUGGAGGGCUUGAGUAUGGGAGAGGGAUGUAGAAUUCCAGGUGUAGCGGUGAAAUGCGUAGAUAUCUGGAGGAACACCGGUGGCGAAGGCGACGUCCUGGACCGGUAUUGACGCUGAGGCGCGAAAGCCAGGGGAGCAAACGGG